rnacentral:sRNA from 1 species
GCUGGGUGUGGUGGCGCACACCUAUAUCCCAGUGUCUUGGGAGGCAGAGGCAGGAGGAUCAGAAGUUCAAAGCCAGCCUCAGAAAAAUAAGAUGCUAAGCAACUCAGUGAAACCCUGUCUCUA